rnacentral:misc_RNA from 1 species
CAUCACUUGCAUAUGCUCGCAUUCAGGGAAAAUCUGCACUCAUUGCUCACUUCCAGAAUUCUAGCCUGAUGAAUGAAGAUAAGCGAUGCCGACCAAUCCUCUUCCACACUGAUGGCCCUAAUGCUGGUGAUCAGGUGCCGUUUCCCAUGGGUGUAAGCAUGAGGCCAAGAAGCAGCAAAAAUCGAGCUGGCACGAGUGAGGAAAGCUACCAAGAGAGCAAGGAUUUCAUAAUUGAAGAGUCUGUUAAUGAAUCAAAUUGAGGAAGCUGCUGCAAUUUUGUUGGUACUAACCUACUAAUAGGAGGAUUUUGGAACUGGAAAGAAAUAUCCACCCAAUUUUUAUUAAUGUACAUUAGGGUGGUCAUGGAAAGACGAGAAGAAAAAAAAAGUUGUAUUUUUAUGAAUUUUGGGACAAGACUCCUAAAAUAGUCAUGAAAAUUGAGGCAUCUCAGUGGAGCUUCAAAAUUUUGCAAGAUUUGGGAGGCUACUAAUUCAUAUAUGAGUUUCCAUGUAUUCAUAAAACAUUUGCGGCACAAAUGGAGGGUUUUCUUGUAUCUCUU